AUUGAACGCUGGCGGCAGGCUUAACACAUGCAAGUCGAGCGGGGUGAUGUAGCUUGCUACAUUACCUAGCGGCGGACGGGUGAGUAAUGCUUAGGAAUCUGCCUAUUAGUGGGGGACAACAUUCCGUAAGGAAUGCUAAUACCGCAUACGCCCUACGGGGGCAAGCAGGGGAUCUUCGGACCUUGCGCUAAUAGAUGAGCCUAAGUCAGAUUAGCUAGUUGGUGGGGUAAAGGCCUACCAAGGCGACGAUCUGUAGCGGGUCUGAGAGGAUGAUCCGCCACACUGGGACUGAGACACGGCCCAGACUCCUACGGGAGGCAGCAGUGGGGAAUAUAGGACAAUGGGCGGAAGCCUGAUCCAGCCAUGCCGCGUGUGUGAAGAAGGCCUUUUGGUUGUAAAGCACUUUAAGCGAGGAGGAGGCUACUUGGAUUAAUACUCUAGGAUAGUGGACGUUACUCGCAGAAUAAGCACCGGCUAACUCUGUGCCAGCAGCCGCCGUAA
rnacentral:rRNA from 1 species